rnacentral:rRNA from 1 species
CCCUUAGAGUUUGAUCCUGGCUCAGAAUGAACGCUGGCGGCGUGCUUUACACAUGCAAGUCGAGCGAGGCGGCCCGCAAGGGCCAGUCGAGCGGCGAACGGGUGAGUAACACGUGGAUCAUCUGCCCAGAGGUGGGGGAUAACCCGGGGAAACUCGGGCUAAUACCGCAUAUGACCGGAAGGUCAAAGGGGGGUCGCAAGAUCUCUCGCCAUUGGAGGAGUCCGCGUCCGAUUAGCUAGUUGGUAGGGUAAUGGCCUACCAAGGCGACGAUCGGUAGCCGGCCUGAGAGGGUGAUCGGCCACACUGGAACUGAGACACGGUCCAGACUCCUACGGGAGGCAGCAGUGGGGAAUUUUGCGCAAUGGGCUAACGCCUGACGCAGCAACGCCGCGUGGAGGAUGAAGGUCUUUGGAUUGUAAACUCCUGUCAGCAGGGAAAAAGCGACUCGUGCUCAUACCACGGGGAGUUGAUUGUACCUGCAGAGGAAGCCCCGGCUAACUCUGUGCCAGCAGCCGCGGUAAUACAGAGGGGGCAAGCGUUAUUCGGAAUUAUUGGGCGUAAAGGGCGCGUAGGCGGCCUGGCAAGUGGAAGGUGAAAUCCCUCGGCUUAACCGAGGAACUGCCUUCCAUACUGCUUGGCUUGAGACCAGGAGAGGUGAGUGGAAUUCCCAGUGUAGCGGUGAAAUGCGUAGAUAUUGGGAGGAA